GAGGAGUGGCUUCCGGAGCUAACGCGUUAAGUCGACCGCCUGGGGAGUACGGCCGCAAGGUUAAAACUCAAAUGAAUUGACGGGGGCCCGCACAAGCGGUGGAGCAUGUGGUUUAAUUCGAUGCAACGCGAAGAACCUUACCGACUCUUGACAUCCACGGAAUUUGGCAGAGAUGCCUUAGUGCCUUCGGGAACCGUGAGACAGGUGCUGCAUGGCUGUCGUCAGCUCGUGUUGUGAAAUGUUGGGUUAAGUCCCGCAACGAGCGCAACCCUUAUCCUUUGUUGCCAGCGAUUAGGUCGGGAACUCAAAGGAGACUGCCAGUGAUAAACUGGAGGAAGGUGGGGAUGACGUCAAGUCAUCAUGGCCCUUACGAGUAGGGCUACACACGUGCUACAAUGGCAUAUACAAAGAGAAGCGACCUCGCGAGAGCAAGCGGACCUCAUAAAGUAUGUCGUAGUCCGGAUUGGAGUCUGCAACUCGACUCCAUGAAGUCGGAAUCGCUAGUAAUCGUGGAUCAGAAUGCCACGGUGAAUACGUUCCCGGGCCUUGUACACACCGCCCGUCACACCAUGGGAGUGGGUUGCAAAAGAAGUAGGUAGCUUAACCUUCGGGAGGGCGCUUACCACUUUGUGAUUCAUGACUGGGGUGAAGUCGUAACAAGGUAACCAAU
rnacentral:rRNA from 1 species